UCUUCCUCCAGGGCACUUUUCACCAGAAUUUCAAGUAAAACACGGAUUCUGGUAUUUUUCAAGUUUAUCGCCUUUGGAACGACAGAUUCUAUCAUUUCAGGAGACAUCAAAUCAGAGGCACCUCCCUCUCCCAGGAGACAAUCAGAUUGUGAACUGGUUUUCAGGCAAACCAAGAGAGUAAGCAUCCUAGUUCCUAAUUCAGUCAUUUCAAAAAUCACAAGUUAUAAAUACUCGAAAGAUAGACCUGAAUUUUUUUGUUUAAAUAACAAGAGUAACUGCAGGAAGCAUAUAUAAUCAAAAACUUUUUUUUUCUUUCUUAUAGCUAAGGUGUGUAAUGCAUAAAUAUAUGAAAAAUAAAAUUCACAGUCAGUUUUAAAACUAGAAUUCA
rnacentral:lncRNA from 1 species